rnacentral:tRNA from 1 species
GCGGCAGUAGCUCAGUUGGUCACUUUUAAUCCGCAGGAUUAAAAGGCAUCAGCUUCCCAAGCUGAGGGUCACGAGUUCGAGCCUCGCCUACCGCUCUA